rnacentral:lncRNA from 1 species
AGAAUGGUCCACCAUCCAAAGGACAACCAGCCAUCUUGAAACAAUUGUGGGAAGCAUUAGAGUCAACAUGGGCCAGCAUCCCUGUGGAAUGCUUUCGACACUUUGUAGAGUCCAUGCCCCUACAAAUUGAGGCUGUUCUGAGGGCAAAAGGGGGUGCAACUCAAUAUUAAGGUGUUCCUAAUGUUUUGUACAUUCAGUGUAUUUUGUAUGUCUUCCAGGGUAAGGUUUUGUAAGACUGUAUCACCUAAGUGCCAUUCACGUUAUUGAAUAGUACAACAAUGAGGAUGUCAUUUGCAACAUAUUUAGCAUCGGAGGUGGCGUUGUUAUGUCAGCUAUUUUAUACAGUCGUUUCCUCAACAUGUGGGAUGACCCACUGGGCACAUUUGGGUAAUAUUCGGUUAAGACAAUGAUCAAUUCGAUUUCAACCUUUAUUUACGCACUCAAAAAUAAUUUUGUUGAAUUCCCAAUGUUAUCACUAUGCUUUCAACCAUCUAAAAGCACAACCAAAUUCCAACAGAAAGACAAUGCCUGAUUUUUGGUUUAGUUGUCAUCUGAAUGUAUCACUGUACUUCUAACCAUUUAAAAGCACAACAAAAUGAAAAUGGGAAUACAAUGUCAGAUAUUUGGUAUGUAUACAACAACUUAAUGUGUUAUCACUGUGCUUCAUCUAAUAGCACAACCAAAUGACCUGGAUUGCAGUUGAGAUUACAGUAAAAGUACAUAGUGCAAGUGAUCAAUGCUGUUCGAGAUUCUGCACUGAAUAUUAUAGCAAUUGUGAAGAUCUCCACAAACCUGUGACCUUUGCAUGCAUUCAUGAUUACAUAAGAAGACAUUUAUAGUUACAGUAACUUCAAAAUGUGGCCAUGGAUUUGUUACUCAUUUUGAGGUUGAAGAAAUACUGUUACAGUUUGCAAUAUAGCCUUAAAUGUAGACAAACUGGAAUUAAAGCCAGACUAAGUCAGUGGCAUAGAUGGCACUAUCCAAGCAGAAGAUACAUCUCCUUCAAAUGCUGAUAUUUGGUUGACAAGCAAAAACAAUUCAAUAUCCAGCUUGUCUACAAAUUAAUAAUUGAUACAACGCCUUCAGAAAGUAUUCACAAGUAUUUAUGUUACAAAGUGGGAUUAAAAUGGAUUUAAUUGUAAUUUCUUGUCAACAAUCUACACAAAAACUCUGUUGUAAAAGUGGAAGAAAAAUUCUAACAUUUCUAUCAAAUGUAUCUUGAUUAGAUGAGAUUCAACCCACUGAGUCAAUACAUGUUAGAAUCACCUUUGGCAGCGAUUACAACUGUGGCUCUUUCUGGGUAAAUCUCUAAUAGCUUUCCAUACCUGGAUUGUGCAACAUUUGCCCAUUAUUCUUUUCAAAAUUGUUCAAGCUCUGUCAAAUUGAUGGUUGAUCAUAGCUAGACAACCAUUUACAGGUCUGCCAUAGAUUUUCAAGCAGAUUAAAGUCAGAACUGUAACUAAGCGACUCAGAAACAUUCACUGUCUUCUUGGAAAGCAACUCCAGUGUAGAUUUGGUCUUGUGUUUUAGCUUAUUGUCCUGCUGAAAGGUUUUGCUUAGCGGUAUGUCAUUUCUUUUUUUAUCCUGAAAAACUUCCUUAGCGAUUACAAGCAUACCAUAACAUAAUGCAGCCACCACUAAGCUUGAAAAUAUGGAGAGUGGUACUCAGUAAUUUGUUGUAUUGGAUUUGCCCCUAACAUAACACUUUGUAUUAAGGACAAAAAGUUAAUUGCUUUGCCACAUAUUUUGCAAUAUUACUUUAGCGUCUUGUUGCAAACCUGAUGCAUGUAAACAGGAUGCAUGUUGUGGAAUAUUUGUAUUCUGUACAGGCUUCCUUCUUUUCACUCUGUCAAUUAGGUUAGUAUUGCAGAGUAGCUACAAUGUUGUUGAUCCAUCUUCAGUUUUCUCCUAUCACAGCCAUUAAACUCUG